rnacentral:rRNA from 1 species
UACGUAGGGUGCGAGCGUUAAUCGGAAUUACUGGGCGUAAAGUGUGCGCAGGCGGUUCGUUGUGUCGGCGGUGAAAGCCCCGGGCUUAACCUGGGAAUGGCCGUUGAAACUGGCGAACUGGAGUGUGGCAGAGGGGGGUGGAAUUCCGCGUGUAGCAGUGAAAUGCGUAGAGAUGCGGAGGAACACCGAUGGCGAAGGCAGCCCCCUGGUCUGACACUGACGCUCAGGCACGAAAGCGUGGGGAGCAAACAGG